rnacentral:rRNA from 1 species
UAAUACGAAGGGCCCAAGCGUUAAUCGGAAUCACUGGGCUUAAAGAGUACGUAGGCGGACUGGAAGGUGCUUUGUGAAAUCCCUCGGCUCAACCGAGGAACUGCAGGGCAAACCAUCAGUCUAGAGACAGGUAGGGGUCGUCGGAACGCUAGGUGGAGUGGUGAUAUGCGUUGAUAUCUAGCGGAACGCCGAAGGAGAAGUCAGGCGACUGGGCCUGUUCUGACGCUGAGGUACGAAAGCGUGGGGAGCGAACGGGAUUAGAUACCCCGGUAGUCCACGCCGUAAACGAUGCGCACUAGGUUGGAGAGGUUCUGACACCGUUUCCGGCCGAAGCAAAAGUGUUAAGUGCGCCGCCUGGGGAGUACGGUCGCAAGGCUA